GACGAACGCUGGCGGCGUGCUUAACACAUGCAAGUCGAACGGGAUUUAGUAAACGGAAGCCUCGGUGGAAGAUUACUAAUGAGAGUGGCGAACGGGUGAGUAACGCGUGAGCAACCUGCCUAUGACAGUGGGAUAGCCUCGGGAAACCGGGAUUAAUACCGCAUAAAAUCGUAGAAACACAUGUUUCAACGGUCAAAGAUUUAUCGGACAUAGAUGGGCUCGCGUCUGAUUAGCUAGUUGGUGAGAUAACAGCCCACCAAGGCGACGAUCAGUAGCCGGUCUGAGAGGAUGAACGGCCACAUUGGAACUGAGACACGGUCCAAACUCCUACGGGAGGCAGCAGUGGGGAAUAUUGCACAAUGGGGGAAACCCUGAUGCAGCGACGCCGCGUGAACGAAGAAGGUAUUCGUAUCGUAAAGUUCUGUCCUAUGGGAAGAUAAUGACAGUACCAUAGAAGAAAGCUCCGGCUAAAUACGU
rnacentral:rRNA from 1 species